AUGGCAUCACGAGACGGCAUUCGUUUUGUGUAAUUAAAGCUGAGGUGCUUAGAGAUGAGUGUGCGUCUGAUUAGCUUAGGUUGGUGCGGUAACGGCGCACCAAGGCGACGAUCAGUAGGGGGCGUGAGAGCGUGGACCCCCACACGGGUACUGAGACACGGACCCGACUCCUACGGGAGGCAGCAGUAAGGAAUAUUGGUCAAUGGAGGAAACUCUGAACCAGCCAUCCCGCGUGCAGGAAGAAUGCCCUAUGGGUUGUAAACUGCUUUUAUCUGGGAAGAAAAGUCGGCAUUUAUGCUGAUCUGACGGUACCAGAGGAAUAAGCACCGGCUAACUCCGUG
rnacentral:rRNA from 1 species